UCCUAGCCCCGAUAGAAGUGAAAAUCCUUUUGUGGUCUCGUAAAGGACGAGACCACAAAAGAUUGCAACGGAUAGCGGGAUUAGCU
rnacentral:sRNA from 1 species